rnacentral:rRNA from 1 species
CCUACGGGAGGCAGCAGUGAGGAAUAUUGGUCAAUGGGCGCGAGCCUGAACCAGCCAAGUAGCGUGAAGGAUGACUGCCCUACGGGUUGUAAACUUCUUUUAUAAAGGAAUAAAGUGAGGCACGUGUGCCUGUUUGUAUGUACUUUAUGAAUAAGGAUCGGCUAACUCCGUGUCAGCAGCCGCGGUAAUACGGAGGAUCCGAGCGUUAUCCGGAUUUCUUGGGUUUAAAGGGAGCGUAGAUGGGUUGUUAAGUCAGUUGUGAAAGGUUGCGGCUCAACCGUAAAAUUGCAAUUGAUACUGGCAGCCUUGAGUACAGUUGAGGUAGGCGGAAUUCGUGGUGUAGCGGUGAAAUGCUUAGAUAUCACGAAGAACUCCGAUGGCGAAGGCAGUUUACUAAACUGCCAUUGACACUGAGGAUCGAAAGUGUGGGUAUCAAACAGGAUUAGAUACCCGUGUAGUC